rnacentral:rRNA from 1 species
AGCAGUAGCCACGGUAAUACAGAGGCCUCAAGCGUUGUUCGGAUUCAUUGGGCGUAAAGGGUGCGUAGGCGGUCGGGUAAGUCGGAUGUGAAAUCCUGGGGCUCAACCUCAGAACUGCAUUCGAUACUGCUUGGCUAGAGGACUGGAGAGGAGAUCGGAAUUCACGGUGUAGCAGUGAAAUGCGUAGAUAUCGUGAGGAAGACCAGUGGCGAAGGCGGAUCUCUGGACAGUUCCUGACGCUGAUGCACGAAGGCCAGGGGAGCAAACGGGAUUAGAUACCCCCGUAGUCCCUGUCUCUUAUAC